CUUCCUGAGUUGAAAAACCUUUUGCAGGACAAGACUGGGAAAGACGUUUGUGUGUCUGCGUCCUGCAGCUGGAAGCAGUCGGGACGUCUCACAACCAAAGACGUCCUCGCUGAGGGCUGGAUGUCCAACUUGAGCUGGUCCAUCACCCAGGGGUCCCUCUCAGCCCCCUCGAUGAAUUCCUCCAAAGAUAUCUGGCCUACACGAUUCCAAAGAGAACCAAAGGGACACUCAGACAUCAGAGGACGGAUGGUUGAUGUAGAUACUAAAUGUGAGCACGUUGUCUCAUAAUAAACAAGGAACUUACUGUCGUUAUUCUUGUCCACUGAAUGAAAUAUUCGGUCACAGAUGUCCUCGAUAUUUCCCGUGAUGCUCGGAUUGUUGUGCUUCUUUAUUGCGUAGAUGAUCUGAGCAAAUGCAUAAGAGACUAGUUACAAAUUUAAAAGACUGAGAUCUGAAGCAAAGACCGUUCUGAAACACAUGAUAGAAUUAUCCAUUUGGACUUUGUGUCACAGAAUGUCAAUCAAACGUAUUCAAACCUUUAGAAAUAAUAUGAAAACCUGUUGAAGAACUCUCCUGUUAGAACAGAGAGUAAUAAUAAAGACAUUGGUUUAAA